GUGCAGCGCGGCAGAAUGAGGGUUGAUUCCUCGGCUGACCCCACAAUGUCGCAGGAGCAAGGGCCGGGGUCCUCCACGCCUCCCAGUUCUCCGACACUUCUUGACGCUCUUCUCCAGAACCUUUACGACUUUGGAGGUACAGAAGGUGAAACAGAACAGAAGAAGAUCAUAAAGAAAAGGGAAAACAAGAAGAGAGAUCUGGUGGCUUCAGCGGCCUUGGCAGCAGAGCCAUCUCCCCUACCUGGUUCUCUCAUAAGAGGCCAGAGGAAGAGUGCUUCGAGCUUCUUCAAGGAACUUAGAGAAGAGCGGCAUUGUGCUCCUGCUGGGACCCCCACAGGACUAGAGAUCCUUGCUGCUGCAGUUCCUCCCUCUUCCCUAAAGAACAAUAGGGAACAAGUAGAAGUGGUAGAAUUUCACAGCAGAAAUAAAAAAAGAAAAUUGACGCCAGAUCAUAACAAGAGCACAAAGCAGGCUAAUCCUAGUGUUUUGGAGAGAGAUGUGGAUAUACAAGAAUUUAACCUAGAAAAGGCUCGUUUAGAAGUGCACCGGUUUGGUAUCACGGGUUAUGGAAAAGGAAAGGAGAGAAUCCUGGAACAGGAACGUGCCAUUAUGCUGGGCGCUAAGCCUCCUAAAAAGAGUUAUGUGAAUUACAAGGUUUUACAGGAGCAAAUUAAAGAAAAAAAGGCAGCAAAGGAAGAAGAAAAGAGACUGGUAGGUGUGAUGGUCUUUCCUUUAUUCAACUAGAAUGGGAAGAUGGAUGCUCUUUGCCACAGUGGAAUGCCGGAAGCCGCUGCUUGGAGAGCAAUGAAGGCACCAGAGUUAAAGGAUCCCAUGCUCCCCAUUUCUUCGAGUUAGCUCUGUUUAGUAAUACCAGCCAAGUAAUCUGGCGUACUUACAUGCAAGAUUUGCUUUGAAAUAGCAAACUCCUUGUCUUAGUCCGUUUGUGUUGCUAUAAAGGAAUGCCUGAUGCUGCGUAAUUUAUAAAGAAAGGAGGCUGAUUUGGAGCAUGGUUCUGCAGACUGCACGGAAAGCAUAGCACUGGCAUCUGCUCGGCCUCCGGCCCAAGAAACAGAUAUUUUCAAGAAAAAGAAGAGGAAAGGACAGGAGGACAGGAAAUCCAAAAAGAAGUCCGCUCCCAGUAUUUUGUCAAAUGGACGGAUUGGACAGGUUGGAAAAUUCAAAAAUGGAACACUGAUUCUGAGCCCAGUUGAUAUCAAGAAAAUAAAUUCUUCCAGAGUGGCCAAAUGAAGUACUUUGUCAGAUAAAAUGAGGAUGGGAACAACUGAGUCAACUGCAGUGGCCCUGGACCCUGCGCGACUCUAGAUAGAUCGUUCUUAACAUGCAUUUCACAGACUGCUUUUUCAUUUUAGAAAAAAUGUCAAACAGAAGUAACAUUUCUAGUUGUCGAAGUGUCUGCUUCAUGGUGCUGAACGUGUCAGGCCCAGUGCAGCAUGAAUGUGACGUGAACCCACUGAAAAGUGAUUUUUAAUGUUGUCCAGCAAACUUCACUCCUGUUUCAUGUUCACUGGCAUUUGGUGCAUUUGCGUGUAAUACAGUUUUUUAUAACUUUACUGUUUUGUAAAUGCUAGUAGUUUACAUUAAAUUGCCUUAUAUUUUUAAUGAUUUAAUGUUAUGAUAUCAUGAAAGAACCAAGAAUCUAGUAAUUUAUCAGUUUUGUGGAAAAGCAGUUUUAAUUUUUAGCCUACCAUGUGUACAAAAUCUACUUCGUAAGAAGUUAUAUAAAUAAAAUAGGUUUGUAGUA